rnacentral:rRNA from 1 species
AACGAACGCUGGCGGCAGGCUUAACACAUGCAAGUCGAGCGCUCGCAGCAAUGCGGGAGCGGCAGACGGGUGAGUAACGCGUGGGAACAUACCCUCCGGUUCGGAAUAACGCAGGGAAGCUUGUGCUAAUACCGGAUACGGUCGAGAGGCGAAAGAUUUAUCGCCGGAGGAUUGGCCCGCGUUCGAUUAGCUAGUUGGUGGGGUAAUGGCCCACCAAGGCGACGAUCGAUAGCUGGUCUGAGAGGAUGAUCAGCCACAUUGGGACUGAGACACGGCCCAAACUCCUACGGGAGGCAGCAGUGGGGAAUAUUGGACAAUGGGCGCAAGCCUGAUCCAGCCAUGCCGCGUGAGUGAUGACGGCCUUAGGGUUGUAAAGCUCUUUCGCUAGGGACGAUAAUGACGGUACCUAGACAAGAACGCCCCGGCUAACUUCGUGCCAG